AUGGUUUUCUAUUAAGUUUCUCAGGAUCCACAUAAGAGUGAAAACAUAUGGUAUCUGUCUUUCUCUGUGUGACUUAUUUCUCUUAGCAUAACACUUUCCAGUUCCAUCCAGGUUGCUACAAAAGGUUGCCUUUUCCUAACUUGCCUAAAGGUGCCUCAGGGGCUAGGGAACCCCACCCCUGAUCCAGUCCUUUUCCCACCAGCACCUCCUCACGCUCUGACCUUCCGAUUUCUCCAACACCCUCUCUCAGCCUCUCACUCACUGCCCACUGACAGCCCACCUUACCAGCCCGGACCUGGAUUCCUUCGGAACAGGCCUACUGACACCCUUACCCUAACUCCUCCCUCGCAGCCCUGACCUUGGACUCAUUCUCAUACAGAAUAAGCCUUGGACUUAUCUAUCCAACUCGUCUUUGCCCCCGACUCCCAAGCCGGAGAAGGACCUCGGGUCUUCCUACAGCUCCGCCCACUGGAGGCCCCGCCCCCGCCCACGUCGGGUAGUGCUCUCACCCUAUCUCUCACAAGAUCUGCCCUGUCUCCCAGGAUUUGCGGUUUGGCCUGCCUCACUGACACUUAUUGAAGUCCCCGGAGAGGCAGCGAGGGCCCAACUGGGCCCUAGUUCGUGGAGAGACGCCGGCCGGCUUGUUACUGCUUAGCUCCUUCCUGUGGUUCAUUGCGGCUGCGCGGCAGACGAUGACAGCAUCAAGUAUUCUUGCGCAGAGGCGAAGUUUACGGUUGGCUCCAUAGCUCAGGGGUUAGAGCACUGGUCUUGUAAACCAGGGGUCGCGAGUUCAAAUCUCGCUGGGGCCUGCUGGUGCGACUUUUUUUCCCCACCCUUUCCUCAAAGGUGGAAAAGCGGAAGAUGCUUGAGCCAACACGAAUUUCCGCUUUUCUUAGAGACCAGGCCUUAGGCGGAGCUGCCUGUUCCUUGACACUUAGAUGCCCACCGACUAAAAGUGGCUUUACUUUUUCAAGAACCAAACCCACUGCGUCCGUGACCUUUCGAUCACAGGCUCCGCUGGCUCCGCGCGUCUUCUCCACAGCGGUCCUUCGCUGGUAUCCUUCGCUGAGAAGAGAAGCAAAUGCUUACCACACGGAGGUGGUAGUAACGGAGGCCGAGGACACACGGUGGCCUAGGGCAGAAGAGAGCCCAUCUAACGCUUUGUGCGUCUGGAAAAGAGACGAGGACAACGCCAACGCCUUGUGGCGAAGAGGCGGGUUAGCAUUGUGUUUUCCAAGGAAGAGUCCGAGAGGAGCAGCGAAUGGAGCGGUCAAUGCAGAGGGAUGAGCAAGAUCGUGGAGUGGCAGUAGAUAAAUUAGCACUUUUUUCCUUGGAGGAGGUUAACCACCAUUCGUCUCCCACUCAUUUUUUAUAACUGCCGUUGUGUAGGAAAUUUCUUUGCUGGCUGCACAAAAAUAAACCUUUGGACCAACUCUGAGUGGAUUUUCGUGAAUUUUACAGCAGGAAAUCAGAAUCACUGGCUUUUGUUUUUUUACUACUGAAUAAUCCAGCGCAGUUAAAGUCUUUUUAGGGAAAGCAAGCCUGAGACGAGGGAGGACAGCGCCCGCACAGCCCAGGACCCUGGUUUGGCGGGAGCCGAUGGCUGCUCCAGUGCAAUCUCGGACAAAGCUUCGGGGACGGAGAGCCGGGGCAUUCAGCCUGCGUGCCCAGUGUGCGCGCGCGCUCUAGUGCGAGCCUCCAGAACUGCGCAACCACCACUGCAGCCAGCCACCCCAAGGGAACGGGGUUUCCGGUCAUCUUGUUUCUGCCUUACACUUCCCUACAUUUUGUGAAGCUUUUGCAAAUAAGGGUGUGUUGCUUUUCAUGUUUUCAUAAAACAAUAAAAGAAAAGCUCUCGCCCUUUUACCAGGCGCCCCACCUGAAGGGACUACUACCUCGACUUCAUUUCGCUUGUGGCGGCUCAGGACCCAGUCAGUCCCGCGUCCCCUCCAAAUCCCGCGCGCGGUUCUCUCCAGGAGCCCUGGGCUUCUCCCGGCCUCUGAGCCCAGACCCUGGGCCUCCAGACUUGCGCCUUGCUUGGGCUCCCUUGGGCAGGGGCUCCCGGUCCCCAAAGCGGAAAGUUGCCCCUGCCUGCUGCUCCUACCUGCUGCUAGUGAGGCACUCCUUCGGAUUCCAGAUUACAUAGAAGGACCAAGAGACACGGACCGUUUACGCUGGGCGAGCUACCUACGGAUGAGAUUAAUGACAGAUGCCCAGACUGUGGAGUAGGGAUGCGUUGGGUGUGGGAGACUCAGAUCCAGAGAGCAAUUUCAAUAUGUCAAAAAUAAAAAUCUCCGUCGGUGAUAAAAAUUA